rnacentral:rRNA from 1 species
UACGGGGGGGGGCAAGCGUUGUUCGGAAUUACUGGGCGUAAAGGGCGCGUAGGCGGCCUGCUAAGUCGGACGUGAAAUCCCCCGGCUCAACCGGGGAACUGCGUCCGAUACUGGUGGGCUCGAAUCCGGGAGAGGGAUGUGGAAUUCCAGGUGUAGCGGUGAAAUGCGUAGAUAUCUGGAGGAACACCGGUGGCGAAGGCGGCAUCCUGGACCGGUAUUGACGCUGAGGCGCGAAAGCCAGGGGAGCAAACGGG